GGGGAAUAUUGCACAAUGGGCGCAAGCCUGAUGCAGCCAUGCCGCGUGUAUGAAGAAGGCCUUGGUUGUAAAGUACUUUCAGUCGUGAGGAAGGCGUUAGUGUUAAUAGCACUAUCGUUUGACGUUAGCGACA
rnacentral:rRNA from 1 species